rnacentral:lncRNA from 1 species
AAAGAUGAAAUCUUACUUCUGCCCCAGAUAUGGCACUUAGUAGUUCCUGCUGUAGCAGGACCUUUCGUAAUCUGUUUUUCUAGUGUAACAAAGUGGGAUAAUUGAGUUAGCCAGAAUUCCCUUCAGGGAGAGUGCUGUAUUUUACAGAGGAAAUGCCUUGCCAAACGUGUAUGUGUUAGAAGCUGAGAAAUUGAUAGGGUGUGAAUGUAGGUAGACAGGAGGGUGGAUUUUCUGGUAGUUUCAGAGGAGGGAGAGAGAGGGAGAGAGGAAUAAAAGGGAAUGGGAUGGUGGAAGUAAGACAAUGAAAGCCUUACAACGUGACGCCUCUCCGAGACUGCCAGCACCAUUCUUCAUGAAGAUCUAUGGGAAAAAAAUUACAAAAGGUUUGGACUCAGAUUAAACUGCUUCGGCAUCUAGUAAACUGCUCCCAGAAGGAAAACUAGAGACAUGCCUUUCCCUAAAUACUACUUCAGAGCCAAUAAUAAUGGUGCAUAUUGAACAAGUGGAUCUUCAUCAAGAAUGAAAGCUGUCUGCUUCAAAGUAAAAUCUGUCACAACCUCAUCUAAAAUGAAAAGUUUCCAAUUUUAAAAGCAUACCAGUAUAUUUGAAGGUGGGGCUCACUACCAGUCUUGGAACCAACGUAUUUUCUUUGUAUCGGUCCCUCUGGUCACCUGAACCGAAGAAAUAAAAAAACACACAAAAGCAAAGAUUAAUUCUUCUGUUACUUUCCUAUGCCCUUAUGUUCCAGUUGGAAAUGCUGGUAAAGGCAUUAGGGCUGAACGCCAGAUUAUGUGUCUGAUAAACCAAGUUAACAUACACAAAAAAAGCCUUGUAAAGAUAAAUCACUAAAUCUUAACUCCCCCACCCUUGCCUGCAACUAAAUGGAUCAAAAUAAAGAUCCAUUUGGAGAAAAAUAACAAGCAGUACAAGAAACAGUGAAAAUGCAAAAUUGGACCUCGUAUGAAUAUAUGUCACAGAUAUUUCUUCUGAGACUCACUUCAUACUAAGUUACCCUAAAAAUGUAAAUAUGGACUUGUUUUAAGGUAUUGUAAUAAAAAAACUGUUAUAGUUAGUUAUUGAACGAAUAACGUAUAUAGUUUUUACUAUCUGCCAGGCACUGUUCUAAACAUUUUAUAAAUAUCAGCUCAAGUGAUCCUCGGGUCUGACCCUCCUGAGUUUCUGGGAUUACAA